rnacentral:sRNA from 1 species
GAGUCGCAGCUGGACGAGGAUGAGCACGGCUUACAUACUAAGUACAUUCAUCGAAUGGAGCAUGUGCCCACCUGGCUUCAGAACACUCACGUCUACAGCUGGCCCAAGAAUAAAAAAAACAUCCUGCUGCGGCUGCUGAGAGAGGAAGAAUAUGUGGCUCCUCCACGGGGGCCUCUGCCCACCCUUCAGGUGGUUCCCUUGUGACACCGUUCAUCCCCAGAUCAUUGAGGCCAGGCCAUGUUUGGGGCCCUGUUCUGACAGCAUUCUAGCUGAGGCUGGUCGUUAGCACUCCUGGCUGGUUUUUUCUCUGUUCCUCCCGGAGAGGCCCUCUGGCCCCCAGGAAACCUGUUGUGCAGAGCUCUUCCCCGGAGACCUCCACACACCUUGGCUUUGAAGUGGAGUCUGUGGCUGCUCUGCAUUCUCUGCUUUUAAAAAACCCACUGCAGGUGCCAGUGUCCCACAUGUUCCUCCUGACAGUUUGAUGUGUCCAUUCUGGGCCUCUCAGUGCUUAGCAAGUAGAUAAUGUAAGGGAUGUGGCAGCAAAUGGAAAUGACUACAAACACUCUCCUAUCACUUCAGGCUACUUUUAUUGAGUUAGCCAGAUGCUUGUGUAUCCUCAGACCAAACUGAUUCAUGUACAAAUAAUAAAAUGUUUACUCUUU